rnacentral:lncRNA from 1 species
CUGCCUAAGAACCAAAGCAUGAGGACCUGGCAUUACAGAACAUGCUCCACCCAUGAGAAAACUUAAUUACUAAGGAAGAGUCUACACUCUGCACCAUGGUGAGGACAGAAACUCCUUCAAGACAAGAAAUAAAAAGAUGAAUUUUAUGGAGUACUGACUUCACAUUACAGACUGUGUACAUUACUGAAAAUAACCUCAUGUCAUCCUAAUAAUAACCUCGUGAAGUGAGAACAAUUUCCCCUAUUUUACAGGUGGGUAAACAUGGCUCAGGAAGUGUAUUCACACUGCUGGGGAAUGAAGGAACUAAACCCAACUUCAACACAGGUCUUUUGACUUUCCACUCUCUGACCAUGGCCAUGACAAUGAGACUCAGCUUUAGAAGGACUACUCCACAAAUGAAGAGGUCAACACAUACCCCAGAGAAGAAUCCACUUUGGGUGGUCAUGGAAGUGCAUUGCUCAGAUCCUGCUUUGCAAGAACCCAGAGGCAGGAGUCCUGCAUCAACACUGUGAGCUCCUCUGCAGCAUUUGCUCUGAAGACACACUGUCCACAGUCAGAGAUCCUAAAGCCAGCUGUUCCUACCUGAUGGGGCAGGUAUCUGCUGGUGGACAAUCUAUCUGUGGUCCAAGGCCUCUCCAAGUUAAGUACAUCCUCCCUCCACCCCUCUACUCUUUCACAGGGGCCAGAGUGGCACUGUGGUCUGAAAGCUCUAACCACUGUGUUUCUUGUGACAGUUUCAUAGGCCAAGAAGGGAAAACAAACCCUCCUUCUAAACUGUCACAUGAAGAAUACAUCACGGUAAAAUAAACAGAUGUGACAUGGGCCAACAUUGUUCCAGCUUCCAAUACCAGUGUAGUUCUAUUAAAAGUCAAGAUUUAGGAGGAGGGAGGCUCCCAUGGAGGUCAGGCAGCUCAAUUACCACAGGCAAAGCCGGGCAGCGGAGGUCUUGCGGAAUCAAGGGGCCCCCUCGCGCUGACGUUUGCACGGGGAAUUGCUGGCAUCACCUGGUCGGCUGGGAACCACUGCAGCGAGCCUGUGAAAUGAAUGACAUCCUCACCUCCGCCAGCAGGGCCAGCCCCUGCCCUCAGUCCCACAGCUUCAGAAACAUCUCGAGGCUGAAAGGCUAUGAUUUUCACUUGUUCCUUGAAUUAUGGCUGCUUCCUGCAAGUGAAACACCCCAGCCUAGAUCAACCUGGCCUAUGGGACCCUCCUGGGAUGAUUCGUGUGGUUGACCUUCCCACUGAACACACCCCAAUUCAGAAGAAAGAAGUUGGACCCUUUCUUCACUGUGGGCUCAGGAGAAACGUUGGGUGAACAGAAUGCCCAGAUGUUUACCACAUGAACACUUUUCAAGAUGCAUAGAUCCCUGAUCCUAUGUCUGAACAUUGAACUCACUGUACCUACAUAUAAUCGUUAGUAACUUAUUUUUAGAACAGUCACAAAAUUGGAUUAAUUAUAAUCCUUUGUUAAUGGCACACUAUUAAUGGUGAAUAUAGAGUCCUCUUCUUUUUAAAAAAAGUUUAUGUAUUUAUCUCACAGAGAGACAGAGCAGGAGCAGGGGGAGGGGCAGAGGAAGAGGGGGAGAGAAACUUAAGCAGAUUCUGGGUGCAGAGCCUGACGUGGGACUUGAUCUCAUGACCCUGAGAUCAUGACCUAAGCCGAAACCAAGAGUUGGACACUUAACUGACUGAGCCACCCAGGCUCCCCUAGAGUAGUCCUCUUCUGAUUUUAAUAAUAUUUAUUUCUAUAUUGAUUCAUUUAUUUU